rnacentral:ncRNA from 2 species
AAAACAAUAAUAGCGCCUGAGCUAAGGAAAUCGGACGGUAAAACAAUCCUUAGUUGACGAGGUGGAGGAUUAUCGAAUUUUCGGCGGAUACCUCCCGAUCGCAUGCCCGGUCGAUAGUUUCGUUUUAAAACACAAAAGUGAUCUUGUGGACAGAAAAACGAAAAGGCAAAUAA